GAGAGAAGAACCCUAUCUUAUGGAGGUAAAGAAGCCUUGCUAAAAGCGGUGGCCCAAGCCAUCCCAGCAUAUGCGAUGAGUGUUUUCAAAUUCUCGAACAAACUUUGCAAGGGGAUCACUGAUGCAAUGUCGCAAUAUUGGUGGGGUGAUGAUGAAAACCAACACCAGAUGCAUUGGUUUGCAUGGUGGAAAAUGUGUGUUCCCAAAGAUAGAUGUGUGAUUGGCUUCCGUGAUAUUCAUAGCUUCAACUUAGCCAUGCUUGGUAAGCAAUGUUGGAGGCUUAUCGAUACCUACGACUCUCUGUGCUAG
rnacentral:rRNA from 1 species